UGGGGCCUUUCAAUGAUUUCAAUUGGUUUUGUUAGAUAAUUGUUUAAUUGGAAGCUGUAUUGGUUUCACUUUUUUCAUUUUAUUAUCUUUGUUUUAUCUUGCUUAGAAGGCAUUUAAGACUUUAGGAGACACACGUCACUUUGUGGGCUUGUUUCGAUUAUCUGGAAUCUAUCCACUGAAUUGUGAUAAUCUUUAUGGUGACAAAAACAAGUAACUAUCCCACUGCCUGUGGAAGAAAGUCAUGCCUCCAUCUUAUGAAUAUAGACUAAACUUAGCACCACCAGCACCACCAGCACAAGGUGGCGAAAGGACGAUUGCUUUGGAUUAUAAUAUGCACUAGGUCAUUGAUUAUAUUAUUUCAAUACCCGUAACUCUGGCAAACCCUCUCUCGCUGUUGUCGCUAUCAAGUUUACGGUCUAACUUAGAAGAAAAGCUUAAUUGUAACUGAGAUCAUAUCCGUUAUUUAAUACUACGGUAUAAUAGUAUUCAUGUUCACUUAUAAAUGAGAGGUCUUAGGUUCGAUUCUCACUAAAGACAAAUUUGAAUCACAUUAUUGCUAGUCCAUUAUCUCCCCUUAAUGUAGAUAAUAUCGUUUAUUUAAAAAAAAAAAAAAAACUGAGAUUAUAUCCUUGUGUUCUUAAAACACUCAUCAUUUGACUGAUCAUCUGAGUUGCUUUGAAUCAUAAUUCUCAUUAUAUCCUUAUCAAAGCCUUUAAAGGAAGGAAUUUCCCUUCUUUAAAAAAAAAAAAAAAAAAAGGGGAAUUGGGGUUGGUUUGGAAUUGUAAUCUCACACCCAAACUCGAGAGUGACCCAAUUUGUUUGCUCUGUUUUUGGAUUUUUCUUUUUUUAAAAGCAGUUUAUUAAAAAAUUUAGAACAUCAAAUAUGUUUGGUAAAAGUAAAAAAAAAAUGUUUUAUUAAAAAACUAUUGUCAAUGACAGUAAAAAAAAACAUAGAAAAAUAGAAGCAGAGUCUACCAUACUUCUAAAAAAGUGUUUUUUUUUCAAAGCAUAGUAAUCAAUGCUCAAUGAAAUUUUCAAAAGUCAAGUAUACCCCACAUAUUUUACAAAAUUACAAUCAUUCCCCUAUAUUAUUGUCUUUAACGAAAAAAAAUUAUCAAACACUCAAUAACUUUAUUUUACAGAUAUUUAUUUUUAUAGCACUGUAGAAACAAUUUUUUUAGAAAGCACAACAAUACCAAACUAGCCCUUAGUUGUGGACCCACACAACAUCGAACUUUAACUAUCCUAUUUUUCAAGUUGCAUCCCAUAGAUCAUCUUUGAAAUGUUAGCUAAAUAAAAAAUAUAUGGGGCAUUUAAUUGAGUUCAAAUAAAUUGACCAACACUAUGGUCUAAGAAACAUUAAAAUUUCAUCGUGAUAAUUAAAUAAGUAAAUGGUUUGGAUCAAAAUGUAUUUUUGCAAGAAUUAUCCAUGAAUCAAGACUUAUAACAUAAACAAUUCGGAUUAUUGAAAUUUGAAACGAAAUGUAAAUCCCAUAACUAGUCUCCAUUAAAAAAAAAAAAA
rnacentral:lncRNA from 1 species